rnacentral:rRNA from 1 species
UACGUAGGUGGCAAGCGUUAUCCGGAUUUACUGGGUGUAAAGGGCGUGUAGGCGGGACUGCAAGUCAGAUGUGAAAACUAUGGGCUCAACCCAUAGCCUGCAUUUGAAACUGUUGGUCUUGAGUAUCGGAGAGGCAGGCGGAAUUCCUAGUGUAGCGGUGAAAUGCGUAGAUAUACGGAGGAACACCAGUGGCGAAGGCGGCCUGCUGGACAUUAACUGACGCUGAGGCGCGAAAGCGUGGGGAGCAA